UUGUGCUCUCAGGGGUCGCCAUUGCGGCUGGGAACGUGGGCUUCUGGGUCCCCAUGGAUGGGCAUCUAGUGAGCUGAACGGAGGGGUGCGGACAACAGAGUCUGCCUGCAGUGUGGGACACCUCGGUUAGGAAGAUCUCCUGGAGAAGGAAAUGACAGCCCACCCCACUGUCGUUGCCUGAAGAAUUUAAUGCACUGAGGAGCCUGGUCAUCCAGAGGACCCAAGACAUGGUGGUUACUAAUAGACUUCCCACAGUACUUCUUCAUUCCAUGUGGACUCCUUCAAGGGUGGUGAGCAUCACAGCUUCCCUUGAACUUUGUCUGCGUGAGUUUCAUGCCUGUCUAAUCUGAUUUUUUUUUUGUGGUAUUGACAUGGUUUUGAAACAUAAUUUACUUUCUGGUAAUUUAAAAUGUACAGAAAACUCCUAGCAAUGGGAAAAAGUACUCGCAUUUGCCACAUCAUUUAAAAUACUCUAUGUGCUUUAUCCAAAAUGGGUGCAUUCUCCUGCAGAACCAGCACAUAAUCUCCAAAAUCAGGAAAUCAUAUGGUUUCUACAUUAUAAUGUAAUCCACAGCCCCACUUCCCCUUUCAGCAAUUGUUCAACUGUACGAAUAUAUAUUUUUUUCCAUCUUCAACCUUUUUUCUUUUUUUAUAGUGUUAUUGAGAUUUUCAGUUAUUUGGACAAACUUGAUGAAUUUAAAGCAGACAUGGUGAAUAUGGGAUCUGGGUGGCCUUUUCUAUAUGGAUUUUUUUUUUCACUAAAGAUGGUUUUCAUGUUUACUCAUGUUGUAACAUGUAUGAAUCCUGCAUUCUUCCCCCCCAUAGUAAUUAAAAAUAAAUCACAUGCUAUUUACCAUUUAGAUAUUUGUAAGCAUACAGUGUUGUAGCAAACGACCUUUACUUGUUUUGCAAACCAGUUUAAUAAUGUGUACCUCGUGCGUGCUUUGGAGAAACUCAGGAAACUGAGUCAGUGACUGAAAUGGCCCACGAUAUCACCUUAGAUAGCAUCUUCAUCUAAAAACAAAACAGGGGCUUCCUGGUGUUCCAGUGGCUAAGACUGGACACUCCCAAAGAAGGAGGCCUCGGUUCAAUCUCUGAUCAGAGAACUAGAUCUCCCAUGCCACAAUUAACAGUUUGCAUGCUGUAGCUAAAUAUCUGGCUUGCCUCAACAAAGGUCGACCUGGUGCAGCCAAAUAAAAAAACAAGUAAAUAUUAAAAAAAUAAAACUAAAGGAAAGCAAGGGUAUGGUGGUUGUACAGAUUUACGUCUUAGCUUUCCCUAUUGAUGAUAAAAAAUGUUUCACAAAACUGUCAUCCGUCUAUCUGGUAUAUACAGAGGAUUCCUUUGAAAUGAGAUUUCUCUGGUAAAUGUGAGUCACAGAAUAGCCGUCUUGAACUUGGGUUUCAGAGAUGAUCAUGUGUCCUUUUAAAAAAAAUUAAUUAGGUCCAACUAAUUCUCAUGCUGAAGCAGUAUGUAUUGGGGUAGCAUUUGCUCCCCUUCACUUUGGAUGUAUCCCAGUUUGCUUACAUAGUCAUCUACCGAAGACAUCCUGAUAUUUGAAAGUUUUUAGCUGUUACAAGUAGAGCUGCUGUGUGUAAUUGUGUGAAAGUUUUUGUCUGGAAACUUUUCCAAAGCUGUUUACUAAGUGCUAGACGUGUAGUGUUCAGGCCACAGGUGAGCCUUGUUUAGCUGUGGAAAAAUCCAGCUAAGUUUCUCUGGCAUGUGGGAUCUUCCUGGGUAAGGGGUUGAACUUGAGUCUUUUGCAUUGUCAGGCAGAUUCUUUACCAGAGAAGCCCCGCACCCGUCUUUUUUUUUUGAGUUUACUGGAUCUAAUAGGUGUGCAGUGCUACUUCACUGUUGUUUUAGUUUGUAAUUUCCUAUCAAUAUAUGAUUUUGAGUACUUUUGAUAUGCUUAUUUACUAUCUGUAUAUUUUCUUUGGCCAGGUGUUAAAAUUUAUACAUUUUUAAUGAGUUGUUGGUUCCAGAUUUUUUGUUAUAGUUGGAGUACAGUCCUUUAUCAGAUACGUAUUUUGUAAAUAUAUUUUUCCGUGGCUUUUGUUUAAGUUCUGUGAAUAAGGUUUUUCACAGUUUAAAUUUCUAAUUUUUUGCAGAUCAUGUUAUAUGUGUUUUAUAUCCUUUUUUGGAUAGACUUUAGUGUUUCUGUUGUUGUUGUUAAAUUUCAUAAGCGAAGUUGAGGUACUGUAGAUACAGUUUUAAGCAGAGCUGAGGUACCAUACAUACAGUUUUGCCUUUUGUCUGUUGAGAAGUUUGAGUGAGGUUGGUGUAAAUUGUAAAAUUAUGCCUACACUCAUUUGAUUGGAUAUGGCUUCCAAUUAUUUGUAUAAUUGGUUUUGGAGAUAUCAUGGGAAGUCAGUUUCCCCAAGGGAUACUGGGUGGGGUCCAUGAAACGUGAACUGUCUUCGAUCCCUGGGAAUCACUUUCUGCUUUUUCUGGCUUUGUAUUUGACUUGUUUGGAUAUCUCAUACUAGUGGAAUCACAGAACGUUUGUGCUUUUUUGGUCUGGUUUAUUUCAUUUAAUAUAAUGACUAUAAGGUUCGUCCACAUUGUAGCAUUGUCAGAAUUACUGACUUUUAAGGGCUGAAUCAUAUUCCAUUGUGUGUAUACCACAGUUUGUUUAUGGAAUUAGCUGCCAUGGACAUUUCUUCUGUUUGUUGGCCAGUUUGAAUCAUGCUGUUGUGAAUAUGACUGCAGAAAUAUGCAUUUUUUCAGCCCCCUUUCCCAAACCUUUUGGGUACAUAGCAUGAAUUGGACUUGAACUAUAUAUUUAUUCCAUGUGUUAGCUUUGGAAUAAUUUCUGUAAUGUCUUGCACAGUGGCCGAGCCAUUUCAGUUAAUUUUUUUGUAUGGUAGAAUACUGUUCAAGGUUUUGAAUAUACCCUGUGUUGCAUAUUCAUUCACUCACCGAUGGACACUUGAAUGGGUUCUACCUUUGGGCUAUUGUGAGUAAUGUUGCUAUGAAUAUUUGUGUACCAGUUUUUGUUUGAAUUAUUAACAAAUACAUAGUACCAGAUAUGAAAGAAACCACCAGGACCUACUGUACAGUGUAGGAAACUGUAUUGAAUAUCUUAUGAUAAUAUAUAAUGGAACAGAAUCUCAAAAGGAACAUAUGAAAAAUACAUAAUACCAUGAUCAUUAUUGUGCAAACACUAUGAGUUAUCAUAGCACUACUCAACGUGUAUUUAUACAUGUCACUGAAAUAUUCAUAUCUGUAAGUAUAUUUCACUGUUUGAUUAUAUAAAAAUAGAGAAUUCAGAGAAUAAAUAAACUUCCUGUCAUUGCUCAUCAUCAUUUAUGCACUAUUACUACCUGUAACACUCAUGGUAUAAGUGCUGGACUAGGAAUUUACAUUAGUGUAAACCAAGAGAUUGUGAAGGUGUGAAAAAGUAUAACUUAUUUCGUUCCUUCACGAACGAUUAUCGAACUCUAUGUACAUGAAGUGAAUGAAAGUCAAAUAUUUUAAUUGAGCCAUAUUCUUACUAGAGUGAUGAGCUUCCACCCCACCCAGUGUUAGUUCACAAUUCAAUCCUGCAGUCAUCUGGCCUCAGUGUCUGCUUCCUUCCAUCCAGAAAGAAAAGGUGAGGAAGUCCUGACAAAAUCAUUGUUUUUCUCUUUUUGAUUUGUAUUUUAUCACAGGGCUUGGCAAAAAGAGGGCCUAACCUGUUUUUAGAGUUCCAUCCCAAGGCUUGCUCUGGCAUGUGACAUGUGUUGACAAACUGCUGAUUAUUUCCAACAAAGGUCCAUGAUCUGCCCUUCACUAUCUGUUGCUUGAGCUGGAAUAGUAGGCCUCCCUUUAAGUGCAGUCCUUCAUGCUGAAGUAGGCAUACCUGAAGCAGUAGCAUAAGAGGAACACGUUUAUCGUGUAGACCUCGCAUCCUAUGAAUUUGUAACAAUUUUUCAGGUAUACCCAUCAUCAUUGGAGGAACUGACUUGUCCCAGUAAUAACUGGAGUACCCAGCCUAACAGUUCCUUGACUUAUGAGUACUUCUUAUGAGUACACUUAUGAGUCCUUUGUCCAAUGUCCUUUCUCCUACUUCGGUCAUGAACAGUAGAAGCUGGUAGCAGUGGUUCUUGAAAUGUGUAUCGAUUCCUAGGUGGCACAGUAGGUAAAUAAUCUGCCUACCAGUGCAGGAGAUGGAAGUGAUGUGGGUUUGAUCCCUGGGUCAGGAAGAUGACAAUUCAUACCCUCGUUUUACAUGAACAAGUUUGAUACUCAUGAGUUUUUUCCUUCUGUAUAUACAGAGCAACAAAUGCUGUUCAAGGACACUGAAAGAACCCUAAUGUUGGAAAUCAGAUCUGUAUUGUGAGCGAUGCUUAGAAAUCUAUGAGUCAGUGACUUAGCACAGCACAUGAUUCAUUGUCAUAGCUGAUAUAAUGGAGGUGACAUGUAAAGAAGAACCAGCCGGUGAAAGUCAAUAUUCACCACUUUUAAACUUUGGAAUUUAUUGCGAUAUUUUACAUCCAUAUUUGUAUGACUUCAUAGUUGGAGAAUCUAUGCAUAUGAAGGGCUGAUUGUGUUAUAUUUAUGUUGAGGGAAGAUUUAUUUUUAUGUGGUUUGAGAUAC